rnacentral:rRNA from 1 species
AUUGAACGCUGGCGGCAGGCCUAACACAUGCAAGUCGAGCGGAUGAAGGGGGCUUGCUCCUGGAUUCAGCGGCGGACGGGUGAGUAAUGCCUAGGAAUCUGCCUGGUAGUGGGGGAUAACGUCCGGAAACGGGCGCUAAUACCGCAUACGUCCUGAGGGAGAAAGUGGGGGAUCUACGGACCUCACGCUAUCAGAUGAGCCUAGGUCGGAUUAGCUAGUUGGUGGGGUAAAGGCCUACCAAGGCGACGAUCCGUAACUGGUCUGAGAGGAUGAUCAGUCACACUGGAACUGAGACACGGUCCAGACUCCUACGGGAGGCAGCAGUGGGGAAUAUUGGACAAUGGGCGAAAGCCUGAUCCAGCCAUGCCGCGUGUGUGAAGAAGGUCUUCGGAUUGUAAAGCACUUUAAGUUGGGAGGAAGGGCAGUAAGUUAAUACCUUGCUGUUUUGACGUUACCAACAGAAUAAGCACCGGCUAACUUCGUG